rnacentral:rRNA from 1 species
UAGAGUUUGAUCCUGGCUCAGAGUGAACGCUGGCGGUAGGCCUAACACAUGCAAGUCGAACGGCAGCACAGGAGAGCUUGCUCUCUGGGUGGCGAGUGGCGGACGGGUGAGGAAUACAUCGGAAUCUACUUUUUCGUGGGGGAUAACGUAGGGAAACUUACGCUAAUACCGCAUACGACCUACGGGUGAAAGCAGGGGAUCUUCGGACCUUGCGCGAUUGAAUGAGCCGAUGUCGGAUUAGCUAGUUGGCGGGGUAAAGGCCCACCAAGGCGACGAUCCGUAGCUGGUCUGAGAGGAUGAUCAGCCACACUGGAACUGAGACAUGGUCCAGACUCCUACGGGAGGCAGCAGUGGGGAAUAUUGGACAAUGGGCGCAAGCCUGAUCCAGCCAUACCGCGUGGGUGAAGAAGGCCUUCGGGUUGUAAAGCCCUUUUGUUGGGAAAGAAAUCCAGCUGGCUAAUACCCGGUUGGGAUGACGGUACCCAAAGAAUAAGCACCGGCUAACUUCGUGCCAGCAGCCGCGGUAAUACGAAGGGUGCAAGCGUUACUCGGAAUUACUGGGCGUAAAGCGUGCGUAGGUGGUCGUUUAAGUCCGUUGUGAAAGCCCUGGGCUCAACCUGGGAACUGCAGUGGAUACUGGGCGACUAGAAUGUGGUAGAGGGUAGCGGAAUUCCUGGUGUAGCAGUGAAAUGCGUAGAGAUCAGGAGGAACAUCCAUGGCGAAGGCAGCUACCUGGACCAACAUUGACACUGAGGCACGAAAGC